CCCCAGAGUGCAGUCUGGACGAUGGGGCGGGGCGACACUUCUAGGCCCCGCCCAUAUUUGUUUUCCCCGCCUUUGACAUUUUGAUCCGAGCCAGCAGGGGGCAGUUUGCGUUGAAAUAAACAGAACGGUGGCAACUGCAGCAGCAGAGUAAUAACGCUAUUCCACGUUGAUUGCAUGAGGUGAGUAAAAGUGGUUGUGUAAAUAUCUUAUAAUAUUAAAUGCGAUGUUCGAUCAUUUAUUUAUCCAUUGUACGUUCAAUUUGAAUAAUUAUUGUUAAUAAUUGUUAUAAAUUGCUCAUUUUAUUGUUCUUUGUGGAUUGUAACAGUACACUCUGUACAUGGCUUUAGUUCUUAGGUUUGAUUUUACAGAGGUAUGCCAUUACAUUUGUCAAGUUAUUUGAACAGACAUGCAUGAUUAUUGUGUGUAUAUUAUUAUUAUUAUUUUUCAGGAUGACAUGAUCAGGAGGUGGUGGUGUUCUGUUCUCCUGGACAGCUUCACUCCGCAAAUGUAUGUAGCUGUUUGAAUGUUGCUACAUGAAACAUUACUCUGUACUAUAUCUAGCAAUAUACCUACCUCUUGACAUUUGUUCUUUUAGAGCUCAACCACUGAGGGGAGGAACUUCACCAUUCAAAAGACAGUGUCUUCAGGCAGAGUCCAGCAAAGCAGCUUCCCCUGGAAAUCCUCAGGGAAGUUAUUUUGUCAGCGGGUGACUCUGCAUAUUUGACUCUUUCUCUGGUUUGCAGAUGGUUUAGGGAUGUGGUCACUCAAGAAGUUUUCCGGAAAGCAGCACACUUUGCCUGGCUAGACAUUGUGGCCAACUGGAAGAAUUGUCCUCCUGUCUACCAGAACGAGUUCAGACGGAUGAACAGCAUCAGGGAAUGCUUGCAAUGCAGAGCCCUUUUCAAGUUUAAC